CCUACGGGUGGCAGCAGUGAGGAAUAUUGGUCAAUGGCCGGAAGGCUGAACCAGCCAUGCCGCGUGAAGGUCAAUGCCCUAUGGGCGUUAAACUUCUUUUGUGCGGGAGCAAUAAUGGUCACGUGUGGCCAGACGAGAGUACCGUACGAAUAAGCAUCGGCUCACUCCGUGCCAGCCGCCGCGGUAAUACGGGGGAUGCAAGCGUUAUCCGGAUUUAGUGGGUUUAAAGGGUGCGUAGGCUGUGAGGUAAGUCACCGGUGAAAUGCCACCGCUCAACGGGGUGAAGUGACAUUGAUACUGCCGUGCGUGAAUGCGGAUGCCGUGGGAGGAAUGUGUGGUGUAGCGGUGAAAUGCAUAGAUAUCACACAGAACACCGAUUGCGAAGGCAUCUCACGAAUCCGCGAUUGACGCUGAUGCACGAAAGCGUGGGUAUCAAACAGGAUUAGAUACCCGAGUAGUC
rnacentral:rRNA from 1 species